GUGGUAGUGAAUAAGUCUCACGAGAUCUGAUGGUUUUAUAAAUAGGAGUUCCCCGGCGCAAGCGUUCCUGUCUGCCGCAAUGUAAGACGUGGUUUUGCUGCUCAUGUGCCUUCCGCCAUGACUGUGAGGACUCCCCAGCUAUGUGGAACGGAAAUAGAGUCUCAUGUGUCACACGGGCUGAAGUUCAGUGGCGCAAUCAUAGCUCAUUGCAGCCUUGACUUCUUGUGUUCAAGGGAUCCUCCCACCUCAGCCUCCCAAGUAGCUGGGACUAUAGGCAGAGAGCUCCGAGAGGGCACAUUCGGGUCUGGUCAUAGCUGUGCACUUGAAUCCCAUCAAGAGGCUGGAAUGGAGUAGAGGCCUCAGUGUACACGGCUGCAGGAGACUAGGUAGAAAGGUGAGCUGGACUCAUGGCCAGGUGCUGGCUAAUAUAGCCCCUGCAUGAGAGAAGAGAGGCCUCAUCCCCGGUUCAGUCCUUGGCUCCUCACGCUCUCUUGAUGGAGCAGGGCCCCUGAAAAGGUGGAAGUCAUCUUCUUCCGUGAUUGUAAGCAAUCCCUCGCCUGGUUCAAGGGAGGCCUCUCCUGUUCUGAUCACCACAUCAUCCACCCACCCAUCCAUCCAUUCCACGUUUCCUGAGGGCAUCCUGUGUGUGCUGGACACCGGAGUUACAACAGGGAACAAGUCUUGGUCUCUGUCCUUAAGGAGCGCCCCAUCGAAUGGUGCAGACAUGGACAAAGUCAGUCACGGUCAGUGUGGACUGUGAUGCGAGGGAGGAGAGAAACACUCAGAUGGCUCCGGAAUGCUUCUCAACUCUGCAAGUCUGUGUGAUGCCCGUGUCCCUUUGAUUUACUUUUCUUCAAAAUGAAUAUAUUUUAAAAUGUUUUUACAUUUCUUCAUUUCAUU